GAUAGGUCCCUGCCGCUACUGUGAUUGGACAUUGACAUUGAGUCAACUAGCCUGGUUGGCGCGGUUCUUGACGCACGGAACCGAGGGGCGGUCCGAACCACGAGGGGGGAGGCUCGGACCGCCCACA
rnacentral:ncRNA from 1 species